rnacentral:rRNA from 1 species
UACGAAGGGGCUAGCGUUGUUCGGAUUUACUGGGCGUAAAGCGCACGUAGGCGGAUCGUUAAGUCGGGGGUGAAAUCCUGGAGCUCAACUCCAGAACUGCCUUCGAUACUGGCGAUCUUGAGUCCGGAAGAGGUGAGUGGAACUCCUAGUGUAGAGGUGGAAUUCGUAGAUAUUAGGAAGAACACCCGUGGCGAAGGCGGCUCUCGUGGGACGGUACUGACGCUGAGACGCGAAAGCGUGGGGAGCGAACAGG